UACGUAGGGUGCAAGCGUUGUCCGGAAUUAUUGGGCGUAAAGAGCGUGUAGGCGGCCCGAUUAGUCCGCUGUGAAAGUCCAGGGCUCAACCCUGGAAUGCCGGUGGAUACUGUCGGGCUAGAGUCCGGAAGGGGCGAGUGGAAUUCCUGGUGUAGCGGUGAAAUGCGCAGAUAUCAGGAGGAACACCGGUGGCGAAGGCGGUUCUCUGGGCCUUACCUGACGCUGAGGAGCGAAAGCGUGGGGAGCGAACAGG
rnacentral:rRNA from 1 species